UACGAAGGGGGCUAGCGUUGCUCGGAAUCACUGGGCGUAAAGCGCACGUAGGCGGCUUACUAAGUCAGGGGUGAAAUCCUGGAGCUCAACUCCAGAACUGCCUUUGAUACUGGUGAGCUUGAGUCCGGAAGAGGUGAGUGGAACUGCGAGUGUAGAGGUGAAAUUCGUAGAUAUUCGCAAGAACACCGGUGGCGAAGGCGGCAUCCUGGACCAACACUGACACUGAGGAGCGAAAGCCAGGGGAGCAAACGGG
rnacentral:rRNA from 1 species